GUUUCCUACGGGAGGCAGCAGUGGGGAAUAUUGCACAAUGGGGGAAACCCUGAUGCAGCAACGCCGCGUGAGUGAAGAAGUAUUUCGGUAUGUAAAGCUCUAUCAGCAGGGAAGAAGAAAGACGGUACCUGACUAAGAAGCCCCGGCUAACUACGUGCCAGCAGCCGCGGUAAUACGUAGGGGGCAAGCGUUAUCCGGAUUUACUGGGUGUAAAGGGUGCGUAGGUGGCAGGGCAAGUCAGAUGUGAAAGCCCGGGGCUCAACCCCGGUACUGCAUUUGAAACUGUCCAGCUGGAGUGCAGGAGG
rnacentral:rRNA from 1 species